UUCUCUAUGCAACAAACAUUGGUAAUUUGGGUUUAGCAUUUUUUUCUGGCCACUUUCCAUUAGUUUCAAACUGUUCUCCUUCCAAAUUUAGUAAUGUUUAUUCCAGAAUGAAUGUAUUAAAUCUGAACUGUUUCAUGAAAGCAGCCAACCCCUAAAGUAAGAAUAAAGAGAAAGACAAACAUACCAUCCAUCCAGGAGCCAGGGCAUUACCAAGAUAAUUCUAUCAUCUGUCUCUUUCUUUCACAAUGUGAGAUUUUGCAUUCUUGUCUACUGGUUUCCCAGGCUGCAGCCAGGAGAAGGAAAGAAGAAAGGUAUCUCCCUUACCCCCCAAACAUUCAAACAAGCACAAACGAAAGCAAAAGUAUUGUGAACCUGUCAUUAAGUCACAUCUUGUCCUUACUUCCCAGUUCUUGGUACUUUUAUUAUGGUAUUCCUGGUUUGGAGGACAGGAGGAAAAAAGGGAAGCCUCAUAAACUCUCCUUGAGAUAAAGCAGGUAAUAAUAAUAAGUAGCAUUUUUUCAGUAUUUACUUAGGACCAGGAAUUGGUGUAAGUCUUGUAUAUGUGCUAACUAUUAUUAUGCCAAUUCCAUGAAGAAGUUACCUUUAUUAUUUGCAGUUUAUAGAUGAGGAAAUGGCACAGAGAGAUUUACCAACUAAAAUCAAGCAGCUGGUGAAGGGCAGAAUGGAGUUUAAACCCAGAUUCUUAUCUGAAUUUAAUGUUCAUUGGAGCAAGGUCAGCAAAAGGUCAAUAACCAGUUAGUAUGCAUCAUAUCAUCUAAUACUCAGGAAACUGGUCAAGCACCAAGAGGACUAUAACAUAGUUUUGGCUAUGUUCAACAGAAAUCAUAAUGCACUCUUCUUAACCUCAGCCUGACCUCACCCUGAACUCAGCAAGUAACAAUGUCUCUUCUUAGAAAAAGGAGAGUUGAUUAGAAAACCCCUUCCACUUCUUCAAUAUUUCUGGGCUUCUACUUGACCCUUGAACAACGUGGGUUGGAAGUAAAUGACUCCACACGGAUUUUUUUCAACCAACACCCUUUUCGAACUUCUGUAUCCUGUAAUUGUUUCUUGAGAGAAGAAGGAAGAAUUGAAGCUCUCAUGCUCAGAAUGCCCAUGGGAACAUGUUGCAGAUGUGAACUUCAACUGCUAGAUGUGUCAGAGCUGAAAAUGCUCUGCUUUUCCUAUCCGUUUGUGGCAUGGCCUCAAAGUUUUUUGAUGAAUAUUACUAUGGGCUUCUUCUGGUAUGAGGAAGGGUUACACUUACUCACACUUUGAAGUUAAAGUGUGGCCAACUGACUUGCACUGCCCAGUGAAACAUGAGGAAAUGUGACUCAUGUCACCACCAGAUGUGCAAAUCUUUAUGCUAUCUCUCACUGCUGUGGCACAUGCAGAAGACUCUUGUUGAGAGAAAGGAGAGAGUAGGGUCUCUGUCAGCCUGAGACCCUGAGUGGCUCCAAUGGAGUAAGAACCUGCCUGUUGACUCCUGGUUCCUUGCCCUGGGCCAUAUUCAGGGAGAGACACUGUCACCCUGCUGUAAUCCCUGCAAUAAAACAAUUGGGAACUGUUUAGGCAUCAUUGCUUUGAAACCACAUUUCAUAUAGUAGUAAUCUAUCAAUUCGCUAGUUCAUUCUCAUCUAUCAUUCCAGGAAUCAUGAUAGAAAGACCCUGCUAUUAGGAAAUUUCUAGAUCAGUAAAUUAUGGACCAUGCAACAUAUCCUCUAUGUAUUCUAGAGUUUCACUGAUUCUUUUUUUUUCUUUUUUUUUUUUUUUGAAGUUUCACUGAUUCUAAGUCAGUUUUUAUGUUACUCUCCAAGUUUUGAGAAUCUCCAUACUAAGUAGGCACUAGAAAUAUGGACUCACAAAAAUUUCUCACAGAAAACUUUUUAUUCUUCCCCAGAGUCCAACCAGAAAUAAGCUUACCAGAAACGGAAAUCCUUGUCUCUUCCCUGACCUACUGGGGAGAUCUUCAUGAAUCAUCUCUUUUUCAAAUCCUUUUUUUUUUUUUUGAGUCAUCUUUUGCUGAGUACAGGCUUUAUGUAAUAUUUUUUUCUGUUGUGAUGUGUGAA